GUAUUAGUUAAGUUCUUGAAACCCAGAGGAUUUGGCGGUAUUUUAUUCUUUCCAGAGGAACCUGUCCCUUAAUCGAUAUUCCACGAUUUUAAUUACUUAUUUUUGUAUUCAGCUUGUAUACCUCCGUCAUAAGGAUGUCUUUUUAGAGUUAAUUUCCUAUUUUAUUUAAUGUAAAAAUGUCAGGUCAAGGUGCAGUUUAUGGAUAAGUGGAGGUGGGUUACAAUAAUAUUAUUUAUAUGGAAACAUAAAUUUAAUUUAUGUUGAAGGUGGAUUUGGCAGUAAAUUUAAUUAUUAAUUUUUUUGAUUUUGCUCUAAAAUAUGCACACAUCGCCCG
rnacentral:rRNA from 1 species